GCCGAGCUUAGUAACGUGAGCUUGUAACCUAAGUAGGGGCAACAUUGUGAUUGGACAUGUGGCUUGACCGUUCAGCUGGGCCGGAGUUAGCGAUUAAUUGGCCCGCCCGGUCCAAGUGGUGUGUUGGUCCAUGUGACUCGGGCGAAGGCUUGGGUUGCGUGGUCCGUAGAGCGGAGGGCAACGCGCCAGGCUGGUCACAGAGCAGCGAUAACUUCCCGCUCACUGCAGUGGAAGGAUUACGGGCCAGUGCUUCUUCGGCCCACUUAAGCUGACUGGGCUAGCCUCAUUGAACAAUCACUUUU
rnacentral:SRP_RNA from 1 species